rnacentral:rRNA from 1 species
UACGGAAGGCAGCAGUGGGGAAUAUUGCACAAUGGGCGCAAGCCUGAUGCAGCCAUGCCGCGUGUAUGAAGAAGGCCUUCGGGUUGUAAAGUACUUUCAGCGGGGAGGAAGGCGGUGGAGUUAAUAGCUUCACCGAUUGACGUUACCCGCAGAAGAAGCACCGGCUAACUCCGUGCCAGCAGCCGCGGUAAUACGGAGGGUGCAAGCGUUAAUCGGAAUUACUGGGCGUAAAGCGCACGCAGGCGGUCUGUCAAGUCGGAUGUGAAAUCCCCCGGGCUUAACCUGGGAACUGCAUUCGAAACUGGCAGGCUAGAGUCUUGUAGAGGGGGUAGAAUUCCAGGUGUAGCGGUGAAAUGCGUAGAGAUCUGGAGGAAUACCGGUGGCGAAGGCGGCCCCUGGACAAAGCUGACGCUCAGGU